UACGGAGGGGGUUAGCGUUGUUCGGAAUUACUGGGCGUAAAGCGCGCGUAGGCGGAUUAGAAAGUUGGGGGUGAAAUCCCGGGGCUCAACCCCGGAACUGCCUCCAAAACUACUAGUCUAGAGUUCGAGAGAGGUGAGUGGAAUUCCGAGUGUAGAGGUGAAAUUCGUAGAUAUUCGGAGGAACACCAGUGGCGAAGGCGGCUCACUGGCUCGAUACUGACGCUGAGGUGCGAAAGUGGGGGAGCAAACAGG
rnacentral:rRNA from 1 species